CGCACCUUGCGCUCCUUGGUAUUCCGAGGAGCAUGCCUGUUUGAGUGUCUUGAAGUCAUCAACCCCUCCCGUUUUUGUGCGGAGAGGAAGGUUGGAUCUGGGGGCCUGCUGCCCAUUGGGUGGCUCCCCUCAAAUGCGUCGGUUGGGCCUGUGGGUCGAACUCGGUUGGGCGUUGUACCAUCCUCGCUCUGCUCCGAGACGUUCCCCCUUUACCGAGCCCUUCCCAGACCACCUGUGGAGUGGUGGUCAAGCUGAACUUUGAAAUCUGACCUCAAAUCAGGUAGGACUACCCGCUGAACUUAA
rnacentral:misc_RNA from 1 species